CAAUAGCGUAUAUUAAAGUUGUUGCGGUUAAAAAGCUCGUAGUUGGAUCUCGGCGAGCAGAGGGCGGUUCGUUAUUUGACGCUACUACCCUAUUUGCUCGUGUUUUUGUCGGAGGUCUCUUGGUGCUCUUAACCGAGUGUCAAGUGGUGCCGGCAGGUUUACUUUGAAAAAAUUAGAGUGCUCAAAGCAGGCUUUACACGCUUGAAUAUUCGUGCAUGGAAUAAUAGAAUAGGACGUCGUUUCUAUUUUGUUGGUUUUCGGAAAUCGACGUAAUGAUUAAUAGGGACAGUCGGGGGCAUUAGUAUUCCAACGACAGAGGUGAAAUUCUUGGACCGUUGGAAGACUAACUACUGCGAAAGCAUUUGCCAAGAAUGUUUUCAUUAA
rnacentral:rRNA from 1 species